GACGAACGCUGGCGGCGUGCUUAACACAUGCAAGUCGAACGGUGAAAGCUGGAGCUUGCUCCGGCUGGAUUAGUGGCGAACGGGUGAGUAACACGUGAGCAAUCUGCCCUUGACUCUGGGAUAACUCCGAGAAAUCGGUGCUAAUACCGGAUAUGACCCUUGGCGGCAUCGCUGGGGGUGGAAAGUUUUUCGGUCAAGGAUGAGCUCGCGGCCUAUCAGCUUGUUGGUGAGGUAAUGGCUCACCAAGGCGACGACGGGUAGCCGGCCUGAGAGGGUGACCGGCCACACUGGGACUGAGACACGGCCCAGACUCCUACGGGAGGCAGCAGUGGGGAAUAUUGCACAAUGGGCGCAAGCCUGAUGCAGCAACGCCGCGUGGGGGAUGACGGCCUUCGGGUUGUAAACCUCUUUUAGCAGGGAAGAAGCGAAAGUGACGGUACCUGCAGAAAAAGCACCGGCUAACUACGUGCCAGCAGCCGCGGUAA
rnacentral:rRNA from 1 species